GGGAUGAACAUUAUAUAAACGGCCUUUUACUUCACAACUCAGUCAAUUAAAUACACUCAACGGGCAACACAAAAUAUCAUUACUCUGUCGAAACCUAGUGCUGAAGAUGGCAAAUUGCAAACAGUCUGGCGUGCGUGUACAUUUUCUAUUGUAUGUAACAGUGUUUUACGUAAUAGUGCCCAUCGUAGCUAUGUCGAGUACGUCGACACCCGUCGAAACAAGUACCACACUUGUGUCAACCGAGGGAGCAACUACCGAUUCAGUGUCAACCGAGGGAGCAACUACCGAUUCAGUGUCAACCGAGGGAGCAACUACCGAUUCAGUGUCAACCGAGGGAGCAACUACCGAUUCAGUGUCAACCGAGGGAGCAACUACCGAUUCAGAGUCAUCCGACGUAACAAAUACCAUUCCAACGUCAACUGUAAUUACUGAUAAGUCAACGCGUACGACGACCGAUUCAACGAACACCACUUUAUCAUUUGAUAGUGGUGCUUCGAAAUGCGAGGGAGGGCUACCCGUCAACAGCAUCAUCAUUUCAGUCCUCGCUUUACUUUAUAUUGGAUAGAUCCAAUAAAUACCUACAAUGGGAUAAUGUUAGUACAGAUUCAGGAAGAAUACAUUACAAAUCGAAAUAUUAUGAAGAAUAGUUUUUGAUAACCUACCCGUUGAUUUUUGUGUUUACAAGGUUAAUGACAUGCUAUUCUGAUAACAAUGUGAUUAGCAAGGUAUCCGUGGUUCGUACUGACGUCUACAACAAGUACAUUCUCAUUCAUGAAUAAUCAAUGACUGUGAUAUGCACGUGUGUUUCGUGAACUGAUGUGUAUUUAUGUCCGUUCCGUCAAUGUCUUAUGCACUUUUCUGUUUUAUAUGCAAACAUGCGUGAUACUUAUGUUGAAGUUAUUUUCUUAAGGAGGUCACAAUCGGGGAAAUAUGAGACAAAAUGUGUAUAUUAUACUGUCCUGUUAUAUGUCAUAUUAUAUUUUAUAUUUUUUUGUUUCAAACAACAAUGCUGAAGCAGUUAUGAGUAUAUUGUUCAAGCCUAUGACUCGUGUGUACACACCAGAUUGAUGAUGUACACGUUAGCUCUACUCAUAUAUGUUAUGUCAU